GAUUUCAAUUGAAAAAGUCAUCAACAACAAAGUUGAAUAACUCAUCAAGAUCUAAAACUUUUAUUUUGGUCAUUUCUUCAUACGACAAAGUGAUAGUAACAUUGUUCACAAAAUUGACAUAUCUCUUAUCUGGUUUUAUAAACUAUAACACAUAUAUGUAAAAUUUAUGAAUAAUAUUACUAACAUUUUGUUGGAUAAAGAAAUAACAAAAAUAAAAGUUCUAGAUCUUGAUAAGUUAUUCAACUUUGUUGUUGACGACUUUUUCAAUUGAAAUC
rnacentral:pre_miRNA from 1 species